GUGCUUGCUUUGGCGGCACAGAGACUAAAAUUGGAACGAUACAGAGAUUAGCCUGGCCCCUGCGCAAGGAUGACACGCAAAAUUCAUGAAGCGUUCCAUAUUUUU
rnacentral:snRNA from 1 species